AUGGCCGCCCGCAAUCCAUCUGCGUCCGCCGCACACCCGCUCCACCAGGAUUCCGUUGCCGCCCCCAACUCGCCCCUGCUCGCCGCCGACCCGCUCCACCAGGCUGCCGUGGCCAACCCCAACUCUCCCGUGCUCGCCGCCAACCCGGUCCACCAGGCCAGCGCGGCGGCGUCGGCGGGGAUGUAUGGCGCUCCUGGGGCCCUCCCAACCGAGCAAGGGUCUUUGACGGUGCUGCCGCCCCCGCCGCCGCCACAAGGCGCGCCUGUGAUGAAGACGGUCCAGGGCGUGAACAUGAUGGCUUCGACGCCCCUGCAAGGACCCCCGGUGAUGCAAGGGGCAAACACGGUGGUGCCGAUGCCCCUGCGGGAGCUGGUCAUGACCCUGCCCCUACAAGGCAGACCUGUGAUGGCACCUCUGCCUUUCCCCAGGGGUCCUCCAUCCAUGAAGGCACCUCCGUCCUUCUAUGAUGUCGCUUCACCAAUGACGGUGCAGCAGCCUCCACAUGCCGGAUACAUGAUGAGCCAGCCGCUGUUGCGUGCCAGCCCUCCACCGAUGGCGGCGCUGCAUCUCCCACAGGCCGUACAGAUGGUGGCACAGCCGCCUUUGCCAGCUGGCCCCCUCCUCUCAAGCGUCACCGUCCUGACUACUUUGACAUGCCUUUUGGACCGCGGAUGA
rnacentral:rRNA from 1 species